rnacentral:rRNA from 1 species
GACGAACGCUGGCGGCGUGCUUAACACAUGCAAGUUGAACGAAGUGGCGGAUGGGCGAGUAACACGUGAGGAACCUGCCUUUCACAGGGGAAUAACACUGGGAAACCAGUGCUAAUACCGCAUAGUGAAAGAUGGCCUCGCGCCUGAUUAGCUAGUAGGUGAGGUAACGGCUCACCUAGGUGAUGAUCAGUAGCCGGACUGAAGGUUGAUCGGCCGCAUUGGGACUGAGACACGGCCCAGACUCCUACGGGAGGCAGCAGUGGGGAAUAUUGGGCAAUGGCGCAAGCCUGACCCAGCAACGCCGCGUGAAGGAAGACGGUCUUCGGAUUGUAAACUUCUUUAGACAGGGACGCGGUACCUGUAGAAUAAGCCACGGCUAACUACGUGCCAGCCGCCGCGGUAAUAC